rnacentral:rRNA from 1 species
CCCUUAGUAACGGCGAGUGAAGCGGGAAGAGCCCAGCGUCGAACUGCUAGGUAUUGCCUAUGUGGAAUGUGACGUUUGGGAGGUCCACGUUCCCUGUGUGGUGGAGAAACUCCAAAUCCUUUUGAUUGAGGCCUUUCCCAGCGAGGGUGUCAGGCCCGUAUCGGGUUUCUCCCCGCGUAGGUUGCGGGCACUCCUUAGAGUCGGGUUGUUUGGGAAUGCAGCCCAAAGUGGGUGGUAAACUCCAUCUAAGGCUAAAUAUUCGGACGAGACCGAUAGCGAACAAGUACCGUGAGGGAAAGUUGAAAAGCACUUUGAAGAGAGAGUUCAAUAGUACGUGAAACCGUUGAGAGGUAAACGGUGAAGGCAUCAAAAUUGCCCAAUGUUAUUCAGCCUCGUUGCUGGGUUCGGUGGUCUGCGGCUAUUAGUCUUGGGCUUCUAGAGCUUGGCGAUUGGGUGCACUUGGCAUUGGGUUCAGUCACGACCGAUUGCCCGGGGGUGUUAUACUAGUUUCUGGUGGGGUGCUUCCUUCGGGUAGUGCUUUCAAGAUUCUGGCUGCGGCCUUCUGGGCGAUUGUAGUAGUGCGGAAUGCUUGCUCUUUUGGGCGGCCGUUCGGGUGUUGGCGUCCGGGUACAUUGGUUAGACUGCAUGCAGUGUUCCCGGUGUCAUUCGGCGUCGGCGUUUGUUUUGGUCUUGGCGUUCCCCGUCCGUGGCGGUAUGGAUGUCCUUUACCGACCCGUCUUGAAACACGGACCAAGGAGUCUAACAUGUGUGCGAGUCUCAAGGGAAGUAAACCCACGGGCGCAAUGAAAGUGAUUAGGUGGGAAGCCUUUAUGGUCGCACCGCCGUCCCGUCCAUGUGUCACGUAUGCAGGGCGGAGAAGGAGCAUACACGUUGGGACCCGAAAGAUGGUGAACUAUGCCUGAGCAGGAUGAAGCCAGGGGAAACCCUGGUGGAGGUCCGUAGCGAUUCUGACGUGCAAAUCGAUCGUCUGAUUUGGGUAUAGGGGCGA